rnacentral:rRNA from 1 species
GAUGAACGCUGGCGGCGUGCCUAAUACAUGCAAGUCGAGCGAACAGAUGAGGAGCUUGCUCCUCUGACGUUAGCGGCGGACGGGUGAGUAACACGUGGAUAACCUACCUAUAAGACUGGGAUAACUUCGGGAAACCGGAGCUAAUACCGGAUAAUAUAUUGAACCGCAUGGUUCAAUAGUGAAAGACGGUUUUGCUGUCACUUAUAGAUGGAUCCGCGCCGCAUUAGCUAGUUGGUAAGGUAACGGCUUACCAAGGCAACGAUGCGUAGCCGACCUGAGAGGGUGAUCGGCCACACUGGAACUGAGACACGGUCCAGACUCCUACGGGAGGCAGUAGUAGGGAAUCUUCCGCAAUGGGCGAAAGCCUGACGGAGCAACGCCGCGUGAGUGAUGAAGGUCUUCGGAUCGUAAAACUCUGUUAUUAGGGAAGAACAAAUGUGUAAGUAACUAUGCACGUCUUGACGGUACCUAAUCAGAAAGCCACGGCUAACUACGU